GACGAACGCUGGCGGCAGGCUUAACACAUGCAAGUCGAGCGAGCGGCGGACUGGUGAGUAAUGUCUGGGAACCUGCCUGAUGGAGGGGGAUAACUACUGGAAACGGUAGCUAAUACCGCAUACCAUCAGAUGUGCCCAGAUGGGAUUAGCUAGAAGGUGGGGUAAUGGCUCACCUAGGCGACGAUCCCUAGCUGGUCUGAGAGGAUGACCAGCCAAACGGGAACUGGGACACGGGCCAGACUCCUACGGGAGGCAGCAGAGGGGAAUAUUGCACAAGGGGCGCAAGCCUGAUGCAGCCAUGCCGGGUAGGUGAAGAGGGCCUUCGGUUUGUAAAGCACUUUCAGCGAGGAGGCGUUACUCGCAGAAGAAGCACCGGCUAACUCCGUGCAAGCAGCCGCGUAAUAC
rnacentral:rRNA from 1 species